rfam:Oryza rufipogon genomic scaffold, chr05
AAAAAGUUAAACCCUAAGUUUCCGCGCCAACGUUUGACUAUCCGUCUUAUAUGAAAUAUUUUUAUAAUUAGUAUUUUUAUUAUUGUUAGAUGAUAAAACAUAAUUAAUACUUUAUGCGUGACUUAUCUUUUUAUUUUUUUCAUAAUUUUUUUAAAUAAGACGAACGGUCAAACGUUGGACACGGAAAUCAGGGUUUGUCUUUUU